AAGAACUUGAGGGAUUGAGUGUUGAAGAACUCCAGCAAUUGGAGAAGAACCUGGAAACUGGUCUGCACAGGGUGCUUCAAACAAAGGUAUGGCUGUUAAACAUGUUGCUAUGUCAGUUUUCUUUAAGUAAGGCUUGGCAAUAGCAAAAAUUUGAUAGGACAUAUGAUUGCAGGAUCAACAAUUCUUGGAACAGAUCAGCGACCUUGAACGGAAGGUAAUGAACAAUAAAUGGGUUGAUUAGUUGUUGCAUUGUAGUAUUCUCAUGUAUAUAUAGGUUAGGUUCUGUAGUUUAAGGUCAACUAUUUUUUUUGGUGAACUACUAGAUGCUUUAGGUAUGAAUGUUUUCUGAUCGGCUUAUCGUUUAUAAUCGGUCUGGCACCGAUCAGGACGAUCAGGACGAUUAAUCGACGACUGAUCGGUCUAAUCGUCCAUAUAAUCGUCCAACAUAAAGCAGGACUAUAUAAGUAUAUAUCAUAUAUGUAUGGUAUAUAUACCAUAUACUAUAUAUUUAUAUAGUACACAUCAAGCAUCAAGACUAUAUUUCUAGUUAGUUGGCUACUUACCUGUGAGAUUUGACUCUAUAUAUUUAUAUAUGGACAUCAAGCAUCAAGGUCAAGGGGGAGGAAGAAGCAGGCAGCAGGGAAGAGUGAGGAGGAAGCAAGCAGUAGCGGGCUACUUGGAUUGGAGCUGGAAUGGGGAGGAAGAAGCAGGCAACAUGGAAGAGGGAGGAGGAAGCAGCAGGCAGCAGGGAAGAGGGAGGAGGAAGCAGCAAGCAGCAGGAGCAGCAGCUCAGUAGCUGACGGCUGGAGUGGAAGUGAGGACUGAGAAGAGAGUGGGGGUGAAGUUAUAAGGGAAACCCUAAUGGGCCUGACCCAAUUAAAUAAUAUCCUUUCAAAAGCAGACCAUCUGCCAGUCAACUUUGAUCGGUCAGGAGGCCUGAUCGGACGAUUAAUCAUGAUUAAUCGACGAUUAAUCAUGAUUAAUCGACGAUUAAUCGGACGAUCAGGUUUCUGAUCGCUCUAAUCGAAUCGAAGGCCCUAAUCGAGUGCUACAGACCGAUAAGGACGAUUAAUCGUGAUUAAUCGCGAUUAAUCAAACGAUCAGAAAACACUGCCCUAUGAUCUGUUACAUCCACCACGUUUAUCUUGUAAACUGUCAUAGCAUAUUUGUUACUUUGGUUGAUCUAGUGAAUGGUUGCUGCCAAUACAUGAUCCAACUCAUGUGAUUUUGGUAUGAAAUACUGGAAUCUGGAACUAGUCUAGAAUACAUGAAAACCAUUUGUAUGAAAUAAGGAUUGAGUGAAUGUUACAUGAAAACCAUUUGUAUGAAAUAAGGGUUGAGUGAAUGUAGGUGUUUAAUGAUGAUAUUCUACCUCUAAAGGACCAUUAUAUUUUGGCUAUUCGUGGAACGCUAGCUUGCUGUUCCUAAUUGUUGUAAGAUAUCAUAAGAUACCUAUCACCUUUAAGUGAUAACGAUUGCUUAGCUUACAUAUAGUUAAUGUUCUGUUAGCUGAUACAGUAGUAAACAUUCAACAACUGAGAUUAUUUUAAUUAAUAUAUAAAAUCCAUAAGUGGAAUUGCUGUGCUAACUUUUUUCUCUUGGGAAACUCAUACAGCAACCCUAGGGGCAAGCAAUGUUGUUUUUAAACACAUUUCGUGAUCUGUAAUAACUUUUUAGUAGAGGGAAGGUACACUUUUUUAAUUUACAGAAAAAACUGAUUGCAAACUACAUGAAUUACACUCUCUUUCUAUUGCAACUUCAACAGAAACAUUCAUGUCUUCAGUUUUAGGACAGUUAUCUCGAAGUGAACGCUCUUAUCUCAAUUUAAGAAUAUAGAGGUUUUCAUGCUGAUGCGUAAAGCUGUUCAAAUAUUGCAUUAGCAGAUGAAAUCAUUUUUUUGGCACAGAACUACGGCAGACAAUUACCACUGAACUUUUUAUAAACAUAUGUUAGGGUCCAAACAUACAAGUUCUGAUAGUGAGAGUUUUGAGAGCAAAAAACAAAAAACACUAGCUGCUCUGUUACAUUCUCAAACAUCCCCCAAAUUAGAAAUGGUGGAGGGAGUGGUGUCCUUGGUCCAGUGUGACCAGAGGGGGGGGCAUCAGAGGCCACAUUCUUGAUGAUUUGGCUGGUGGUGACAUCAUUGGCAUGAAAGUCUUCCAAAGGUUCCAGUUCCACGGAUUUUUGUUUUGAUGAUAACAUGUCAUCAUGGAUUGAGAACUCUUGCUGUCGCACAAUCCAUGCCCCAAACAUCUGACUGCUUCGGAGAAGUCUCCUUGGUUUAAAUGUGAUAAUAAUUAAUAUGUUUUCGGUAGGUUCCUCCUUUUCCAAAAUACUAUUGCAAGUUAAAGACACUAUUUUUUCACAUGCUUUACUGCAGAGUACACAGCUGGCAGAGGAGAACAUGCAACUGAGGAAUCAAGUAACUUCACUUCUUUAGCCUUCGUUUCUUUCAGAAGAAUCCAUCUGAUGAACUGAACACAUAUUUGCAUUUCAAUUUUAUACCUGAACACAGGUAUCCCAGAUACCUCCAGCUGGCAAACAAGCAGUUGCUGAUACUGAAAAUGUUAUUGCUGAAGAUGGGCAAUCCUCUGAAUCAGUGAUGACUGCGUUGCACUCUGGAAGUUCACAGGAUAAUGAUGAUGGUUCGGAUGUAUCUCUAAAGUUAGGGUGAGUAGCCAGUAGCCUUUUCUAUUAUGCAGAGUAAGUUUGACCGAAUAGAUCAUUUUGUCUAUUCUUACUCUACACCUUAUUGGCUAAAGCAAGGCCAUCUUAUAUUUUGCCUAUUUUCACGUGCUACUCUGACCCAAAAAGGAUACAUUUUUUUUUGAACGUAACAGAGGAUACAAUUCUAGAACAGUGUUCAUUCAAACUUUGCAAUUCUGUGUAAAAAGGUACUAAUAUUUAACAACAAAUAUAUAUUAUUAGAUUCAUCAUGGAAUAUAUUUAAUAGUAUACCUAUUUGAAGUUAUAAAUGUUGAUUCAAUUUUUUUUUUUGUAAACUUAGUUAAAGUUAGGAUAGCAUGACUUUACUAGACCUAGAAUUGUAUGCUUUAUAGACGGGGAGUACUUUCUUCAAUGGUGGUCUUGCCUUGAUUAGUAUUGGCUUGCAAACAGCAAUGGUUCAAUUCUCCUAAGUAUGGGUUUAACCUGAAUAGGUUUAAGUUUAGAUUUGGAUACGUAUCAUCUAGUGGUCCUGUCCGCAACAACCAACCAGUUUUCUUUUCAAAUUUAUAUUUCUUAUAUUAGUUGAUCAAUUAGGCAUUUCUUUGAUGCCCAAACAUUACUAUAUAUCUAUCACUUAAAUUAGCUCUAAUCUACAUAUGAGUUUUAGAUAUAAAGGUAAUUUCUAGGUCUUCUCGACCAUGGUCAGGCUGGUUGAAAUUUUCUGUUUUAUGUCAUUAACAUUGUGCCUUUUAUUAUUUUGCUUUUUGCGUCUUCUUACUGCAAUCACCAUUGUGCAGGUUGCCUUGUGUUGCAUGGAAGUAAACUGCAAAAGAGGCUCCGUGUGGACCUGGUUGGAGCUGAGGCCUCAGCGGAUAAGUACUUGUGUGUUAUGGUCUUAUGGACGACCCCCGACUACUGCAAUAAACUUGCAUUGGAAGCGAGAUCAGUUAACCUGAUUUGUCAUCCUUGUGGCUUCAUGAUGCGAUGUUCCGCUUGUACCGU
rnacentral:lncRNA from 1 species